rnacentral:rRNA from 1 species
UACGUAGGGGGCAAGCGUUGUCCGGAUUUAUUGGGCGUAAAGAGCGUGUAGGCGGCCAGGUAGGUCCGUUGUGAAAACUCGAGGCUCAACCUCGAGACGCCGAUGGAAACCAUCUGGCUAGAGUCCGGAAGAGGAGAGUGGAAUUCCUGGUGUAGCGGUGAAAUGCGCAGAUAUCAGGAAGAACACCCGUGGCUAAGGCGGCUCUCUGGGACGGUACUGACGCUGAGACGCGAAAGCGUGGGGAGCGAACAGG